rnacentral:rRNA from 1 species
UCGCCUGUUUAUCAAAAACAUAGUUUUAUGGUUAUAUAUAAAAUAUUUUCUGCCCAGUGUCAAUAGAUAAAUGGCCGCAGUACCUUGACUGUGCUAAGGUAGCAUAAUCAAUUGGCUUUUAAUUGAAGUCUAGAAUGAAUGGGAUAAUGGAAUUUAGCUGUCUUGAUUUUUUUUAAUAAAAAUUUAUUUAUAAGGUGAAAAUACCUUAAAUUAUAAUAAAGACGAGAAGACCCUAUGAAUUUUCAAUUUUUUUUGUUGGGGCGACAGUUUAAAAUAUAAUCUUAAAUUUUUAACUAUAUAACGAUUUUUUUAAUAAAAAUUAAAUUACCUUAGGGAUAACAGCAUUAUUAUUUAAAUAGUUUGUGACCUCGAUGUUGGACUAGGAACUAAAAGGCUAACCGUCUUUAUAGAUUUGUUCUGUUCGAACAAUUUUAUCCUACGUGAUCUGAGUUCAGACCGGA